rnacentral:lncRNA from 1 species
GCCCCCAGGUAAAAAGUACACUGGAUGCACACUAACCGACUCUUCUGUUUUGGUUGAUUAGCCUCUCAGAAAAAGAAUGCCAAUCCUUAAAAGGAAACACGUGGUCCAUCUAUUCAAAUCAAAACCAUUGUGAGAAUUCAGCAGUCCUGCUGUCUCUCCUCAGCCCACACAAGGCUCUUUCUGCCUCUAGAAAGGAAGUUCCAAGGGUAAACAAGGACAGGCUUUGCAGGUACAGCAGUAAAAGAAAUUGUAAGUCAUAAUUAGGUUCCAUUGAAGAUUUGAUGAAGGCAAAGAAGCUGCAACACCUUUCAGACCUUUGGGCUCACACCAUUAAUACCUCUGAUCUUGAAGACAAACGACAAUUUGGGUUCAGCAGAGCAAGCAUUAGAUUUCCCUGUGCAGACCGUGUUGUGAUUCAAUGGCCGUUACUUGUCUGCAGGCAAUGGAGUGGCUCUAGAGAAGGACACACAUCUUGUAGCAAUGCAUCUGACUCAGAUGAUAGACUUGGAUGGGCUUCUCAUAAGGGCAAACAGGACCAGAGGAUUUAAGAGCCUGCCCAGCCAUGCUUCUUGCCCUGAGCCUGGAGCGCAGGCAUUGCCUUAUUGAAGGUGAGUCUUCUGAUGACCUGGGAGAGAAGAUGGGAGGGGCUUCAGAGAUACUGCAAAGGAGCGUCCCCUUUUGCUAGAGCUAGGUAAGACAUGGCUGGUGAGUGCUUCUUUUUCAUCCCUAAAAAUAACAGUAACAAAAACGGUCAUAAUUAACUUGAAUUAACAGCUUAUAAUGUGUCUGCCUAUGUGCUCCCUGCUUUAGGAGAGGUCAUUUCUUUCGAUCAGGCUCUGUGAAGUAGGUUUAACGUGUACAUUGUAGAGACAAGGAAAUUGAGGUUUACAGGGAUUAGGCAGUUUAUCAACAGUCAUGAGAGGAGUCAGUAGAGGAUAUUGUGGGUCUAACCCCGGAACCCAAGCCUUCCAUCACCGUAGUGGCAGUUUCUCUCUUGAUCCCACUGUGCUAGACCAGCCCUGUUUGGAAGCAGGCAUAUGUUCCUCCAUCCAGCCUCUUUCUAGGACUCUGGGCAUGGAUGGGUACCUAAGGUCCUCAUGGUUUUUUGCACUCCUCCUUCAUAAUGUGCUUAUGGAGAAUUAUAUAAUAUAAUAGUUUCGUAUCUCAGUGUUAAAGACUAAGAAUUGACACAUUUCUCUCAGGGAAUCUGUACCUCAAUUCUUGGACAGUAUUAGUAAUCUUUUUCUAGCUUUAUGUAGGUAUGAUUGACAAGUAAAAAUUGUAUAUAUUCAGGGUAUACAAUGUGAUGUUUUGAUAUACGUGUAUAUUGUGAAAUGAUUACUACAAUCUAAUUAACAUAUCCAUUACCUCACAUAGUUACUGUGUGUGUGUGUGUGUGUGUUGAGAACACUUGAGAUCUACUCUACUAGCAAUACAGUAUAAUGAACUAUUAAUCACCAUACUGUACUCCAGAACUGAUUCAUCUUAUAACUGCAGGAUGUUGUCCUUUGACCAACAUCUUCCUUUUCUCCCUAUCC